rnacentral:rRNA from 1 species
UGCUUUCAACGCGACCCCAGGUCAGGCGG